GAUGAAGAACGCAGCGAAAUGCGAUACGUAAUGUGAAUUGCAGAAUUCAGUGAAUCAUCGAAUCUUUGAACGCAUAUUGCGCUCUCUGGUAUUCCGGAGAGCAUGCUUGUUUGAGUAUCAGUAAACACUUCAACUUCCAUAUCUUUUUUGAAAUGGGAGUUGGACUUGAGUGAUCCCAACGCUUUUCCUCACCGAAAAGUGGCGGGUUACUUGAAAUGCAGGUGCAGCUGGACUUUUCUCUGAGCUAUAAGCAUAUCUAUUUAGUCUGCCUAAAAAACAGAUUAUUACCUUUGCUGCAGCUAACAUAAAGGAGAUUAGUUCUUGUGCUGACUGAUGCAGGAUUCACAAAGACGGCUUCGGCCGACUUUGUAAACUCGAUCUCAAAUCAAGUAAGACUACCCGCUGAACUUAAGCAUAUCAAUAAGCGGAGGA
rnacentral:misc_RNA from 1 species